CAACUAGAGAAAGCCCACACACAGCAACAAAGACCCAGCGCAGCCAAAAAUAAAACAAAUAAAUAAAUUUAUAUAUUUAAAAAAAAAAAAUCUUAAGAACUCAAGGCUGUUUGAAUGUUGCAGAUACAAAUCUGCAGAAAUCCAGUUUCAAAUGGGCUUUCUUCAGAUGUGGAGGAAACACUGCAGCCCAAAAUAACAGUACUUCCUUUCAACUGUAUUGACAGGUAAAAUAGCACCUUUGGGCUGACUUAGGAAAGAAAACUAAUUUUCAUCUUUCUUCGUUAAAGUGAACUGGGACUAUUUGGACUCAGUGUCAGCCACUACUCAUAUCGAAUCAGACUUCUCUUCAGUAAAAGAUGAGAGAGUUAACAUUACAAGGCCCUAGAAGAAAGACAUAUUGCAAUUCAAGUCUGUAUUCUUGACCUUGCCCUGUUACUGUGAAGACUCAUGGGUCUGUCCAGUUAGUCUCCCCUCAUUGCCUGAAAGCAUUCCUUGCUCCAGCGGUCCUUGUCUCACAAAUCGUUCUCCAGCCAACUUUUCACAUUUUCUCUUCACACUUGAGACUGCUUCAUGGGAUCCUGAUCAUUUGGUGUUUCUUCUCCUUUCUUUUUGAGCAAAGAAAGGACAAAUGAGUCAGAAAGAGGAGAGAAGAUAAUGAGGGUGACUAACUCAGGAUCACUUCUGUCACUUGUAAUGGCUGAGGGCCAGGCGAUACUCCAGUGACACGCUCCCGGCUGGCCCCAUCACACAGCCAUCAAGAACCUACUGUGAUCAUCAGAUACUUACUUCGACAUUUAUUCCUUGCAGCUAAAUCUUUAAAGGAAGUGAAAGAAUCAGACUUUAGGAUCCUCUUAAGGGAAAUCCCCAUGGAUUACAUCUCAUUUUCCCCUCUGAUUCCUAAAUGACACUACCACCUGUGACACUACCAGCUGUGCCCUGGAAGUGCCUGGAGAUUCUCUCCUUCCAAGCCUCUGCC